rnacentral:rRNA from 1 species
CACGCCGUAACGAUGGACACUAGGCGUCGGGGGGAGCGACCCUCCCGGUGCCGUCGCUAACGCAGUAAGUGUCCCGCCUGGGGAGUACGGCCGCAAGGCUGAAACUCAAAGGAAUUGACGGGGGCCCGCACAAGCGGUGGAGCGUGUGGUUUAAUUCGAAGCAACGCGAAGAACCUUACCUGGGCUUGACAUGCUGGUGAAAGCCGGUGGAAACAUCGGCCCCUCUUCGGAGCGCCAGCACAGGUGCUGCAUGGCUGUCGUCAGCUCGUGUCGUGAGAUGUUGGGUUAA